CCCCGUGUCUGUCUGCCCUGGAGGCCGCUGGCUCAGCCCGUGGCUGGGAAACGCCUUUGGAGCGGGUGUGCGGAGUUUCCAAGAGCCCUCGCACUGCGGGCGGAUGGUAUAAAAGGGGCAAACGGGCGGAGGGGGGAGCAGAGCCCACACAGCCCUGACAACAGUCAUUUCAGGGCACCACGGUGCUGAAAGAAGCCCAAAGGGCACAACCCCGUUUUUAAAAAGCAUUUUCUGGUCACUUUUAAUACAUCUACGGGGAGGAAAUGCCAUGGGAUUAUUUGGUAAAUAUAGAGCAGGCGGGAAUGGACACGUUUUGCGAACAAUAUCUAUAUCUAGAGAGGUUUCAGAGUAGCAGCCGUGUUAGUCUGUAUCCGCAAACAAGUACUCCUAUAUCUAGAGAGAAAGUCAACAUUUUUCAAAAUUCAAGGUUUUUUUUUAAUCAACUCUAGCUAAAUAGCCCUGCACUGCUCUGUCUUGUGCAUGCAAUGUGCAUGCAAAGGAUAUAUAAAAUAAUAAAAUAAUAUAAAUAGGAGAGUGAGAUAGAUAAAGGAAUUUUCUGCCAUAUCCUGGGGAGGCUUCAUUGGAUUAAGUGCCCAGGGUGGCACAUGUGGACAGGAGGAGCACCACUUGAUCCCGCACCUGUGACUGGGAGCUGCCCUUGACCAGCCAGUCGUCAAGAUAGGGGAAGAGCUGGACCCCACAACGUCUGAGGGAGGGUCACACUCAGAGGCUUGCCAUGUGAAAGGGGUCACCCGUCCAAUAUGGUGCAAGGAGUUCUGCGCCUCACUGGACAGUCCAGACAGCAGGAACCAUGACACCCUCCUCAUGAACACAGCGGAGGCCAUAGAUCUUGCAGCCUUAUCUGCGGCAUCUGACGCUGCCUGCAGGGUUGCCCUGGCAGCCGCUGUGCCCUCCUCAACCAGAGCUUUGAACUCCUUUUUGUCAUGCUCCUGGAGGGAGUCUUCGAAUUUGGGUAGAGUGCCCCACAAAUUGAACUCAUACCGACCUAGGAGAGCCUGAU